rnacentral:piRNA from 1 species
UAUCAGUUGCAAAUGGGAAGUAAGACGC